CCGCCACCCUCUCUCUCUCUCUCUCUGUUUUUUUUUAACUUAUUAGUGUUUCUGCCUUACAAGUAUCAAUUCUGAUCAACAGCUUAGUUUGAUUCAAUGAUCUGAAAUGCUAUAUGAAAACCCUAAAGCAAAUAAAGCUGAACUCAGAGCCUCUCAAGUACUUGAAUAUUUUCCAAUUCGGCAUCGACCAAAGCCCCGAAAACUCAAAUCUUUUUUGCUACUCGCUAGUUCCUCCUUCCAUUGCGCACAAAUAGAAACAGAAUGUCAGCGGCAAGCGGCGGCUGCCGAAUUGAGGAGGGUCUCAAAGUGUAGAGCUCAUUGUAUUCGGUCAUUUCUACUGAUUACAGGGUUUCAGAAAUUUUUUUGGCUAAUUCAGGUACGUAUUUCAUAAAUUUAUGAAUAAUCAGGUUAUUACAGGUCUUGUUUAUUUUUUUCUUGGAAAACAGGUUUUGUGUGAUUAUUUUCAUCUCAAACAGGUAUAUUUCAUGUCAAAUCAGGUACGCAAUUCAUGUUACAGUAGGUUUCAUAUGAUUUCAGGUUUCGUAUGAUUUCAUUAAUACAAACAGAAAUUUAUAAUUCAUUCGGGAUAUUAUUAUUUGUUCAUGAUACAAACAGAAAUUUAUAAUUCUUAAUACUUACCAUGCUUGUCCCUGGAGCUAAAAUUGUUCCUGCAUACACACAUUUUGAGAUUAAGUACCUCAUCGCACGCUCUUUGAAUAUUAAUUGUUUUGGGUACAGGAACUCUCCAUUUUACUAUUCUUGGUGGAACACUAUUCCUCAAAUUGUUCCUGCUGGAUUCAUCUACUAACUGAUUUAGAUAAUAGCUUUAGAUAAUAGCUUGUACUAAGAAAUAUGAUACUCUACUUCGAUAACUCCUUGCCUUAUGCAUAACCGUUCUUCAUUUUGCAGCAUUCCUGGCUAUUAUGAGGCAUUCUGGAAGGAGAUGGAUGAUGUUAAACAAAUCUGGAAGAACAGAAAGCAAAUCUGGAAGAACAGAAAGGAACUCAAAUAGAUUAUUAAUCAUGUAUCGAUGAAUUACAUUCUUUCCUAGCAGUGUCAUAGCCAUUGUAAAUAAUUUAUGUAAACGUUUAUAAAUAAUUUAUGUAUCUCUACUAUUUUGGUGAA